GGAGGGUAUAGCUCAGUGGGAGAGUGCGUGCUUAGCAUGCACGAGGUCCUGGGUUCAAUCCCCGGUACCUCCA
rnacentral:tRNA from 1 species